CACGUAGUUAGCCGUCCCUUUCUGGUAAGCUACCGUCACAGUGUGAACUUUCCACUCUCACACCCGUUCUUGACUUACAACAGAGCUUUACGAUCCGAAAACCUUCUUCACUCACGCGGCGUUGCUCGGUCGGGGUUGCCCCCAUUGCCGAAGAUUCCCUACUGCUGCCUCCCGUAGGAGUCUGGGCCGUGUCUCAGUCCCAGUGUGGCCGAUCACCCUCUCAGGUCGGCUAUGUAUCGUCGCCUAGGUGAGCCAUUACCUCACCUACUAGCUAAUACAACGCAGGUCCAUCUUGUAGUGGAGCAAUUGCCCCUUUCAAAUAAAUGACAUGUGUCAUCCAUUGUUAUGCGGUAUUAGCUAUCGUUUCCAAUAGUUAUCCCCCGCUACAAGGCAGGUUACCUACGCGUUACUCACCCGUUCGCAACUCAUCCAAGAAGAGCAAGCUCCUCUCUUCAGCGUUCUACUUGCAUGUAUUAGGCACGCCGCCAGCGUCG
rnacentral:rRNA from 1 species